ACGUGUUCACAGUGUGCAAGUUAUUAAUCAACUGCUACGUGUUCACAGUGUGCAAGUUAUUAAUCAACUGCUACGUGUUCACAGUGUGCAGGUUAUUAAUCAACUGCUACGUGUUCACAGUGUGCAGGUUAUUAAUCAACUGCUACGUGUUCACAGUGUGCAAGUUAUUAAUCAACUGCUACGUGUUCACUUUGUACAGGUUAUUAAUCAACUGCUAUGUGUCCACAGUGUACAGGUUAUUAAUCAACUGCUAUGUGUUCACAGUGUGCAGGUUAUUAAUCAACUGCUACGUGUUCACAGUGUGCAGGUUAUUAAUCAACUGCUACGUGUUCACAGUGUGCAGGUUAUUAAUCAACUGCUACGUGUUCACUUUGUACAGGUUAUUAAUCAACUGCUAUGUGUCCACAGUGUACAGGUUAUUAAUCAACUGCUGUGUUCACAGUGUACAGGUUAUUAAUCAACUGCUGUGUUCACAGUGUGCAAGUUAUUCAUCAACUGCUACGUGUUCACAGUGUGCAGGUUAUUAAUCAACUGCUACGUGUCCACAGUGUACAGGUUAUUAACAACUGCUAUGUGUUCACAGUGUGCAGGUUAUUAACAACUGCUAUGUGUUCACAGUGUAUAUGUUAUUAAUCAACUGCUAUGUGUUCACAGUGUGCAGGUUAUUAACAACUGCUAUGUGUUCACAGUGUAUAUGUUAUUAAUCAACUGCUAUGUGUUCACAGUGUGCAGGUUAUUAACAACUGCUAUGUGUUCACAGUGUGCAGGUUAUUAACAACUGCUAUGUGUUCACAGUGUGCAGGUUAUUAACAACUGCUAUGUGUUCACAGUGUACAGGUUAUUAAUCAACUGUUAUUUGUUCACAGUGUGCA
ensembl:lncRNA